CACUGUUCCCUAAUCGCCGUUCAUUGUCCAGUGCGCUGCCCCACCACGGUCUGACCCCACUUCACUUUUAUCUUCCAACUCCAGAUUGAAAGGCAUGUACCUGAGUAGUUAUAUUUAGAGAAUUACAUCCAAGAAGCCUCAUCUUCACUGGACUUACACAGAGGAUAAGAUUCUGAACUUUGAAUUGAUGCUAUAAUGGGAUAUGAUUCUGGGGCCUUAGAAGGGGCGAACAAAGGCCAUAAAGGUGUUAAAGGGAAGGAAGUAAUCGAUAGCAUUGGAUGGUGACAAGCCUGUGGCUGGUGUGUUAUGAUGGGAUGGACUCCUCCUGCUUCCAGAAGGCACUGUCCUUUCAGUGUUCAGGGCAGCUUUGCAUUAGUGCCUCAAACCCAUCCCUACAUCCUGCAGUAAACCUGGAAAGGUCAACACCUCCAACCAUCAGGCCCUCCUUUGAAGUACAGUCAACCAUCUCACUUUUAGUAGUGCAGAUAUUGUGUACUGUAAUGUCCUAAAAUUUAAAUUAUUUGCUUCCUGACAUCAUUGCCUCAAAAAAA